UGCCAUACAACUCCGAUCCCUAUCUUCGAAUGGUAUCGGCCGGGAUACGAGCAACCAAACCCGGUGAAAACUUUGGUCGUAUGCUGACAGGGAUGG
rnacentral:ribozyme from 1 species